AUAGCGACGGAGGGCUUUCUCUGUCUUAACAUCGGUCCGAGCUCUCUCUCGCUCGACCAUGGAGCGAUCCGAGUCCUUUCAUUCGGCCAUGGCGUGGAGCAGCAGCAGCGACGUAGAACAUACGGAGGACGAGGGCAUCGCCUGCGGAAUGCAACAUUAACUUACAAUAUUUUCUUAUUUUGUUUUUUGUUAUAAUUUUGUAAGCACUGCAGCUCAAAAUGUUAAACCAAAUAGCCACUGUGAAAGAUGAUGGAGGUAUAGUUGUUGACAUCUUUAUGCUAUAUAUAGAGAUAUUGUGAUCAUAAGCCUAGAAUUUGGAUUAUUCUUUGGUGCAUGGAGAUGUUUACGGCUGGAUCUCGUGUUGAAAUAUAUUUUAGUGAAUUUACGGGGAGUGUGAUAGUAUAAUUUCUCACUGCUGGUGUCCCAUUGGCCAGUCUGUUGUCCAUUUAUGAGAACAUACAACUGAGUUGUUUGUUAGCUACCAUACAUCAAAUUACUUGGCGUAUGUGGCUUUUUGUCUCCUGGAUUUUACCAUUCUUGUAGGCUUAGUUGCCUGUUGGUUCCUUCUGACGAUGAUAAUUAAAUUGA